rnacentral:lncRNA from 1 species
AGUUCAAUGAAAAUACAACUUUAGUGUUCAUAACUAUACAUUUAUUCAGUCUGCAGAACCAACCAACGGUGAAGACAAUGGAAGUGCAACACUUGUUGGCACGGAAAAUAUACAAUCCUGCUGUUUUUCAGUGGUUCAGCAAUGGCUCAUCAAUCAACAAACUACUGAGAAAGGGAAUGGUAGGAGGAUGCUUUUCUUAGAGAAAGAUGACAAAUAUUCUGUGCAAGAAGAACUCAUGCUGGAUAUGAAAAACAGAAGCCCCUGUAAGGAACCAAGUCAAGAGAGAAAAUCACAAUGAAGGGAAGGACCAUGAAGCAAAAUUGAAGAGCAAGGACCAAAGACCAACCAAAAAAAUGGUAGGAACACACCAAAAGUAUAUAUAUAUAUAUAUAUAUCAGGAAGGCUGUCCUUAAUUUAAUUUUUAGUUAAAAUGGGCACUCGUCCUGUACCCCUUUCUGUCAAGGACAAUACAAUGGUCAGUGUAGGUUGGCAGAGCCCAUGCGGGGUCUGUGAAUAUUUCA